rnacentral:rRNA from 1 species
UACGUAGGGGGCUAGCGUUGCUCGGAAUCACUGGGCGUAAAGGGCGCGUAGGCGGCCUGAUCAGUCGGGGGUGAAAGCCUGUGGCUCAACCACAGAAUGGCCUUCGAUACUGUCGGGCUUGAGACCGGAAGAGGUAAGUGGAACUGCGAGUGUAGAGGUGAAAUUCGUAGAUAUUCGCAAGAACACCAGUGGCGAAGGCGGCUUACUGGUCCGGAUCUGACGCUGAGGCGCGAAAGCGUGGGGAGCAAACAGG